UGUCAAGAAAAGUAUCAAUCGAGGAGAAAGGUACCCGUACCGGAAACCGAAACAGGUGGGUGAGGAGAGUAUCCUAAGGCCAGAGAGAGAACUGUUGUUAAGGAACACGGCAAAAUGACAACGUAACGUAGGGAUGAGGGGUGCCACCAUCAGGUGGCAGCAGAGAAUAGGCCCAAGCGACUGUUUACCAAAAACAUAGGUU
rnacentral:rRNA from 1 species